UCUUCCUCAACAACAAGUUCUGUGUCACAACGAUCCCUUCCUCUCAAUGCUCCUUCGGGACAUAGGAUGUGCUAGGUUGAUUGUUGUGAACGUCUCGACUAUUCCUGCGGAGAUAUUAUCGCACUUCCAUUAAUGUCCAACCCAGUCGACAGAACUGAGAUUGACCCGAGACCUUUUCACGCCCUCUGGGCAAGGCUGGCCUUGAGCUCGCCUCUCUGAGGCUGAACUCGGCCGGCUGAAAGUGGUGUGUAGGGAGACGUCUUAUUCCCAAGCUUAGUGUUGAUCCUCGUCGAGGAAUGAUCACUGGGCAAAACCAAGGCUAUUGUCUACAUCC
rnacentral:sRNA from 1 species